rnacentral:misc_RNA from 1 species
GAUCCGGACAACCUUGGGCCACUUAACGAACCGAUGCAAAUCCCUCUUCGGCGGCAGCGCGCCGCCGAUACCGAACUGCUUCGGCCGCUUCUCAAACAGCGGGUUCGAGAUCUUCUCCGGCUUCUUCUUCGCCGGCGCAGCAGCUUUCCCUCCCCUCUUCGGUGCCAUUUGAGUGAUCGCUGCCCGGCGGCGGAAGGUAGGGUUUUG